rnacentral:lncRNA from 15 species
UGCACCUGCUGACCUGUGGGGAUCUGGUGACUGCUGAGUGCCUUUCUGACCCUGACUGGCUAUAAACUAACAACACAGGAACAUGACAGUUUUAGUAUUGUUUCAGUCAAACUGAAAUUUGAAUUCCCGUCUCUUUGGUCAGUAAUUUAUACUUCCUCUGCUGUGCAAGGAAAUAUAAAUUGUAAAUGUACUGUGGCUAUUGUACGUAUUUUUACAUUUUACUAAAGAUGAUAAAACUGCUUUGGACAUAUUUGUGGAAACAGCUUUGAAGUUUGAACCAAGUGUGUUUGUCACAUAUAAUCCUUUAAAGUAGAAUCACAUUUAAAUUUAAGAAGGCAGCAAGCCUCUGGGUGAGCAUUUACCAUGGCAACAAGCUAGCAUUGCUAGGAGACGCGCUGUCAGCUUCCAUGUUACACUGGUGACUUUAGCCCUCAAACGCUGAUAGAUAAUAUGCUUUUUAUAUAUGUAUUUUUAUGUCCACAUAAUGUUGACUCUUAGCUGUCUGUCCCUUCACAACAUUCAACAUUCAGGAGGAACUAUUGUGUUAUUAAGUAUGUGUUUCACUUGUGAAGUAGAGACUAGCAAGCUAAUGGACGCUAGUUAGUCUAGCAUUGGACACUGAAGUAGCACUAUUGCAAAAAAUAAACAUAUACAAUGCUAAAUACUAUAACUUAACUAUAAAAGUAUUGAAAUAAGAGUCAUAAAGUUAGCAAAUGAAUUAGGUAAUGUCAGUUAUAGACUACAGCUAUCUAGCCUUCUUAACGUUUGCUAACAUUAGCUAACAUUGGUGAAUGUGGAUUGGGCAAGGUUUUAUUGGAGUUCAACCUUUCAUUUGUAAGACUAUUAACUAGUGUUACUUCCUCUUUUAAAAGUGACAUAGUCUUACUUUAAUUUCACUUCAGCCUUUAAAGUUUAUCUAGUCUCUAGAGUGUGUGUUUAAAUGCCAGUAGUCUAAGCUAGGUACCCUGUACGGAUGCAUGUUGAGUUGGCUGAUGGAGACAGUGAGGAGAGGAAAGCGGUGCAGGCAGCAGUGCACUGCUGAAUCAGUGGCAGCUAAGAAGCAAUGUAGUCAGAUGAAAUUACUCCUGCUGUGUCUAAAUGCUUCAAAUCACUGGAAGAAAAUAUUCCAACAAAACUAUAGCUAACAAGGCCCGCCAUCUACUUUAUGUGACACCAAGAAUAUAGUCCCACAGCGGGGACACCG